rnacentral:lncRNA from 1 species
AUGAGGCCCACACACAGAAGAGGUCUCCCUGAGGUCCAGCGGGCUGCCCUCACCUCAUCUCCAGACGAGCCCGCCCACCUGUGGUCCCAGCCUUCCCCUCUUUCUCCCUUGGGGUCCCUGACGGACGCCCCCUACACCCGCCCUGUGGCUCUUGGCCCUUCUCUACUUCCUGCCCAAGUGCUGCCCACUCUCACCCGCAGUGACCCACCAAGAGUGACCACUGGGGCAUGCUCAGGUCCUUCCUGUGCCCGCCAGGCCUCCUCCUGCAGAAAGACCCUGGGGAUUUGCUUCUGGGCUGCUCUGCGAGCCCCCCCAGUGCCCCCACCCCGCCUGGGGCCGAGCCCCGCCCUGCAGCCCCCGUCUUCCAGGCGCCAGUUAGCCCUGAGGUCAAGCCUUCCUCCGUCAGGAGGGGGCCCCGUGAGAACUGGGGGCAGGAGGGGGGCACGUGGGAAGGUGCCCUCGGGGCCGGCAGGGCCUCUGGCUCCAUCCGCUUCCUUCCUCCUCCCUCGGCUCCCAGGGGAAAGGUGCUCGGAGCAGGGUCUCGGAGGAGGCCUGAGUGAGGGACCCGCCCCGGGAUGUCUGACGCAUGGUGGACGUUUAACCCUCUCCCUGGUGACGCGGACAGCCCGGCCCGGAGUGACCAGGCAUGCCCGCCCCGGGCACAGAGCCGGCAGGGCUGGUGGCCCCGGAGCCCUGGAAAGGGGAGACAGGGCCGCAGUGUCCAGGGCGGGCAGCUGCCUCUUCCUGUCCCCUCUGGGCCCGGCUUGUGGGCUCAGAGCUCCAUGCUUGCUGCAAACCCCGCACGCAGCGAACGGCCCGGCCACCUUCCCCGGGGACCCUCCCACCACGCUCCUCUGGGGCCUCUCCUCUCUCCUUACCCUUCCUGCCCACCCCCAAGGCCCUUCCCAACUCCUAAGGGGAGCAAAGUGGCCAGGGUACCCUCUUCCCCGCCGCUCCCCCUCCACCUGCCGGCCCAGCUACAGAGACAGGAAGGCCCUGG